UACGUAGGGCGCAAGCGUUGUCCGGAAUUAUUGGGCGUAAAGAGCUCGUAGGCGGCUUGUCGCGUCGACCGUGAAAACUUGGGGCUCAACCCCAAGCCUGCGGUCGAUACGGGCAGGCUCGAGUUCGGUAGGGGGAGACUGGAAUUCCUGGUGUAGCGGUGAAAUGCGCAGAUAUCAGGAGGAACACCGGUGGCGAAGGCGGGUCUCUGGGGCCGAUACUGACGCUGAGGAGCGAAAAGCGUGGGGGAGCGAACAGG
rnacentral:rRNA from 1 species